CAUUACUGAGUUUUUAACUCUCCAAACCAUGUGAACUUACCACUGUUGCCUCGGUGGUCGGUGCUGGAAACAGUGCUGCCACCGGUGGACUACUAAACUCUUGUUAAUUUUUGUCAAAUCUGAAUCAAACUAAGAAAUAAGUUAAAACUUUCAACAACGGAUCUCUUGGUUCUGGCAUCGAUGAAGAACGCAGCGAAAUGCGAUAAGUAAUGUGAAUUGCAGAAUUCAGUGAAUCAUCGAAUCUUUGAACGCACAUUGCGCCCAUUAGUAUUCUAGUGGGCAUGCCUGUUCGAGCGUCAUUUCAACCCUUAAGCCUAGCUUAGUGUUGGGAGACUGCCUAAUACGCAGCUCCUCAAAACCAGUGGCGGAGUCUGUUCGUGCUCUGAGCGUAGUAAUUUUUUAUCUCGCUUCUGCAAGCCGGCCAGACGACAGCCAUAAACCGCACCCUCUCGGGGGGCACUUUUUUAAUGGUUGACCUCGGAUCAGGUAGGAAUACCCGCUGAACUUAAGCAUAUCAAUAAGCGGAGGAAAAGAAACCAACAGGGAUUGCCCUAGUAACGGCGAGUGAAGCGGCAACAGCUCAAAUUUGAAAUCUGGCCUUCUGGUCCGA
rnacentral:rRNA from 1 species